rnacentral:rRNA from 1 species
GAUGAACGCUGGCGGCGUGCCUAAUACAUGCAAGUCGAGCGAACAGAUAAGGAGCUUGCUCCUUUGACGUUAGCGGCGGACGGGUGAGUAACACGUGGGUAACCUACCUAUAAGACUGGAAUAACUCCGGGAAACCGGGGCUAAUGCCGGAUAACAUUUAGAACCGCAUGGUUCUAAAGUGAAAGAUGGUUUUGCUAUCACUUAUAGAUGGACCCGCGCCGUAUUAGCUAGUUGGUAAGGUAACGGCUUACCAAGGCAACGAUACGUAGCCGACCUGAGAGGGUGAUCGGCCACACUGGAACUGAGACACGGUCCAGACUCCUACGGGAGGCAGCAGUAGGGAAUCUUCCGCAAUGGGCGAAAGCCUGACGGAGCAACGCCGCGUGAGUGAUGAAGGUCUUCGGAUCGUAAAACUCUGUUAUUAGGGAAGAACAAAUGUGUAAGUAACGGUGCACGUCUUGACGGUACCUAAUCAGAAAGCCACGGCUAACUACGU